rnacentral:tRNA from 1 species
GGCAGCGUGGCUCAGUGGAAAGAGCACGGGCUUUGGAGUCAGGGCUCAUGAGUUCGAGUCCCAGCUCUGCCA